AUGGCGAUCGCGGCGCGCGCCCUGCGCCGGCUCCCGCUCCACCUCGCCCCCGCGCUCGCCCGCCCCUUCUGCGCCGUCUCCCCCGCCGCCGCGGCCCCCGCCCCGGCCGCCGCGUCCGCCAAGGUCGCCGACCGCAUCGUGCGCGUCCUCGCCAUCGACCUCGACGGCGGGCGCCGCGAGGUGGUCGGCCUGGCCGGUCAGACCCUCCUCCGCGCGCUCGUCAACGCGGGGCUCAUCGAGGCGGCCUCCCACCGCCUCGACGACAUCGACGCCUGCUCCGCCGAGUGCGAGGUCCACAUCGCGCAGGAGUGGCUCGAGAAGAUGCCCGCGGCCUCCUACGAGGAGCGCUACGUCCUCACGCGCGCCUCCCGCAACCGGGAGCUCAACAAGCACGCCCGCCUCGGCUGCCAGGUCGUGCUCGGCAAGGAGCACCAGGGGAUGGUCGUCGCCCUCCCCGAGCCCAAGCCCUGGGACAUCCCGUAA
rnacentral:rRNA from 1 species